rnacentral:rRNA from 1 species
GGCAUGGUUGUCGUCAGCUCGUGUCGUGAGAUGUUGGGUUAAGUCCCGCAACGAGCGCAACCCCUAUUGUUAGUUGCCAUCAUUCAGUUGGGCACUCUGGCGAGACUGCCGGUAAUAAACCGGAGGAAGGUGGGAUGACGUCAAAUCAUCAUGCCCCUUAUGACCUGGGCUACACACGUGCUACAAUGGUUGGUACAACGAGUUGCGAGUCGGUGACGGCGAGCUAAUCUCUUAAAGCCAAUCUCAGUUCGGAUUGUAGGCUGCAACUCGCCUACAUGAAGUCGGAAUCGCUAGUAAUCGCGGAUCAGCACGCCGCGGUGAAUACGUUCCCGGGCCUU